rnacentral:rRNA from 1 species
UACGGAGGAUGCGAGCGUUAUCCGGAUUUAUUGGGUUUAAAGGGUGCGUAGGCGGGUUAUCAAGUCAGCGGUAAAAUCGUGGAGCUCAACUCCAUCCAGCCGUUGAAACUGAUGAUCUUGAGAGGGCGAGAAGUAUGCGGAAUGCGUGGUGUAGCGGUGAAAUGCAUAGAUAUCACGCAGAACUCCGAUUGCGAAGGCAGCAUACCGGCGCCCGACUGACGCUGAAGCACGAAAGCGUGGGUAUCGAACAGG